CGCUCCACCUGGUGGCCGUUUCCUCCACUCCACCUCCAGGCUCCUCACCCCUCCUUCUCGUCGCGGCGUUCCCCGAGGCUAGACGUGUCCUUGUGCUGUGUUGCGAUUUUCUUCUUCUGGGACGCGAUCUCCUCAACCCCGUCAGGUGGUGACACGAAGUGGAUGUGAGGGGAGUGAGUCGAGCAUUCCUUCUCGCCUCCACCUGCGUUCCCACCCACCGCUUCCACCCCAGGCGCCGGACACAUGGAGACAAGGUGGUGACACGAAGUGGAUGUGAGUGUGAGGGGAGUGAGUCGAGCAUUCCUUCUCGCCUCCACCUGCGUUCCCACCCACCGCUUCCACCCCAGGCGCCGGACACAUGGAGACAAGGUGGUGACACGAAGUGGAUGUGAGGGGAGUGAGUCGAGCAUUCCUUCUCACCUCCACCUGCGUUCCCACCCACCGCUUCCACCCCAGGUGCCGGACACAUGGAGACAAGCAGCAGCAGCAGCACCACCACCACCACCACAGCCAGCAGCAGCACCACCACCACCAUACCAUACCACACCACCAUACCACCACCACCUCACCACCACCACCACCAUCAGAUUGCCCGCCUCACCCCCAAGGUCGCCUUCUCGCCUGUCACCCGGGUGAUUGCUUUCGUGUUUUCUUUCGCUGUCACUUGCGUACAUAGCCUCUCUCUCUCUCUCUCUCUCUCUCUCUCUCUCUCUCUCUGUGUUAUUGGCAUUCGUAAAGGUAAAAAAUAAAUAGAUAAGAGAUGUGGUGUUUUUUUUAAUGAUGUGGAGUGCCCGAGUUUGUUCCCCUCCCAACACUGACUUGCGUUUGAUAAGUCGUGUGUGUGUGUGUGUGUCAGAAGAUGGUCAUAUUCUUAAACAUAUCGAUGCCCAAGCGCACACAUUUGACGAAUCUUUCAUAGGAGUUGAUGGAUAUUGUAGCUACGUCUUGUUCCAUUCUUAUAAAGUCUUAGGGUCAUAUUCUUAAACAUUUUGACGCCCGAGCACACGCGCACACAUUUGACAAGGCUUUCGUAAUGGUUUUCAUGGGCAUUUCCGGGGGUACUUUUAUGACUCGUGGUAGUGUGAUAUGAAGAUUGUCAGAAGUCAAAAGAACGUAUAGCUUACUGAAACCAGGCACUAUCACCGGGCUGGUUGUGGUCGGGUAGUCAGACUGCGAAAUAAACUUACACUAACAGAGGAGGGGAUCAAUAGGCAGGCAAAGGAAUGUUCAAGGGCUAUAUGAUUUCCGGGAACUGGACGUUGAAUUCACGGACCGUUGAGGAAGCGGAGUGAUGCGAACCCGUCCAUUUUUAUUAUCAGCACACACACACACACGCGCACAUGUAUUCAGACAGACGCAGGCACACAGAAGCUGUCACUCGUCAGAUAUUGGAAAGAAAAUAUAAGAAUGAAGUAAAAAGGUAUCUAUAAGUAAUGGCUGUCUGUGUUAGUUUGUGAUUCGUUUUGACUUAGAAGUGAGUGAUUGAAGUUGUUUGUUAAAAGGUUUCUUCCGCGGUUCAUAAUUAUAUAUAAAUAAAGUUUGAAAAUAAAGAAGGAAAAAUAAGGUAUACGUAAUAAUUGUUCUCUUGAGUCAGUUUGCAGUUCGUUAUGACUUUGUAGUGAGUGAGUGAAGCUGUUGAUGAAAUUGUUUGUUCCCGCGGCUCAUAAUUAUGUAUAAGUAAAGAUUGAAAAAAAUAAAUAUACAUACGUUUGCUUUUUAUUCUGAUUACUAAGCUGAUGGACAUUAAUAAAUCGCAGUGCAUCAAUUAGCGGU